GGUUAAGCGACUAAGCGUACACGGUGGAUGCCCUGGCAGUCAGAGGCGAUGAAGGACGUGCUAAUCUGCGAAAAGCGUCGGUAAGGUGAUAUGAACCGUUACAACCGGCGAUGUCCGAAUGGGGAAACCCAGUGCAAUUCGUUGCACUAUCGUUAACUGAAUACAUAGGUUAACGAGGCGAACCGGGGGAACUGAAACAUCUAAGUACCCCGAGGAAAAGAAAUCAACCGAGAUUCCCCCAGUAGCGGCGAGCGAACGGGGAGCAGCCCAGAGUCUGAAUCAGCUUGUGUGUUAGUGGAACGGUCUGGAAAGUCCGACGGUACAGGGUGAUAGUCCCGUACACCAAAAUGCACAGGCUGUGAACUCGAAGAGUAGGGCGGGACACGUGGUAUCCUGUCUGAAUAUGGGGGGACCAUCCUCCAAGGCUAAAUACUCCUGACUGACCGAUAGUGAACCAGUACCGUGAGGGAAAGGCGAAAAGAACCCCGGCGAGGGGAGUGAAAAAGAACCUGAAACCGUGUACGUACAAGCAGUGGGAGCACCUUCGGGUGUGACUGCGUACCUUUUGUAUAAUGGGUCAGCGACUUAUAUUCUGUAGCAAGGUUAACCGUAUAGGGGAGCCGCAGGGAAACCGAGUCUUAACUGGGCGUUAAGUUGCAGGGUAUAGACCCGAAACCCGGUGAUCUAGCCAUGGGCAGGUUGAAGGUUGGGUAACACUAACUGGAGGACCGAACCGACUAAUGUUGAAAAAUUAGCGGAUGACUUGUGGCUGGGGGUGAAAGGCCAAUCAAACCGGGAGAUAGCUGGUUCUCCCCGAAAGCUAUUUAGGUAGCGCCUCGUGAACUCAUCUUCGGGGGUAGAGCACUGUUUCGGCUAGGGGGUCAUCCCGACUUACCAACCCGAUGCAAACUACGAAUACCGAAGAAUGUUAUCACGGGAGACACACGGCGGGUGCUAACGUCCGUCGUGAAGAGGGAAACAACCCAGACCGCCAGCUAAGGUCCCAAAGUCAUGGUUAAGUGGGAAACGAUGUGGGAAGGCACAGACAGCCAGGAUGUUGGCUUAGAAGCAGCCAUCAUUUAAAGAAAGCGUAAUAGCUCACUGGUCGAGUCGGCCUGCGCGGAAGAUGUAACGGGGCUAAACCAUGCACCGAAGCUGCGGCAGCGACACUAUGUGUUGUUGGGUAGGGGAGCGUUCUGUAAGCCUGCGAAGGUGUGCUGUGAGGCAUGCUGGAGGUAUCAGAAGUGCGAAUGCUGACAUAAGUAACGAUAAAGCGGGUGAAAAGCCCGCUCGCCGGAAGACCAAGGGUUCCUGUCCAACGUUAAUCGGGGCAGGGUGAGUCGACCCCUAAGGCGAGGCCGAAAGGCGUAGUCGAUGGGAAACAGGUUAAUAUUCCUGUACUUGGUGUUACUGCGAAGGGGGGACGGAGAAGGCUAUGUUAGCCGGGCGACGGUUGUCCCGGUUUAAGCAUGUAGGCUGGUUGUCCAGGCAAAUCCGGAUAAUCAAGGCUGAGGUGUGAUGACGAGGUACUACGGUGCUGAAGUAACAAAUGCCCUGCUUCCAGGAAAAGCCUCUAAGCAUCAGGUAACAUUAAAUCGUACCCCAAACCGACACAGGUGGUCAGGUAGAGAAUACCAAGGCGCUUGAGAGAACUCGGGUGAAGGAACUAGGCAAAAUGGUGCCGUAACUUCGGGAGAAGGCACGCUGGUGUGUAGGUGAAGCCCCUGCGGGUGGAGCUGAGACCAGUCGAAGAUACCAGCUGGCUGCAACUGUUUAUUAAAAACACAGCACUGUGCAAACACGAAAGUGGACGUAUACGGUGUGACGCCUGCCCGGUGCCGGAAGGUUAAUUGAUGGGGUUAUCCGUAAGGAGAAGCUCUUGAUCGAAGCCCCGGUAAACGGCGGCCGUAACUAUAACGGUCCUAAGGUAGCGAAAUUCCUUGUCGGGUAAGUUCCGACCUGCACGAAUGGCGUAAUGAUGGCCAGGCUGUCUCCACCCGAGACUCAGUGAAAUUGAACUCGCUGUGAAGAUGCAGUGUACCCGCGGCAAGACGGAAAGACCCCGUGAACCUUUACUAUAGCUUGACACUGAACAUUGAGCCUUGAUGUGUAGGAUAGGUGGGAGGCUUUGAAGCGUGGACGCCAGUCUGCGUGGAGCCAACCUUGAAAUACCACCCUUUAAUGUUUGAUGUUCUAACGUUGGCCCCUGACCGGGGUUGCGGACAGUGUCUGGUGGGUAGUUUGACUGGGGCGGUCUCCUCCCAAAGCGUAACGGAGGAGCACGAAGGUUAGCUAAUCCUGGUCGGACAUCAGGAGGUUAGUGCAAUGGCAUAAGCUAGCUUGACUGCGAGCGUGACGGCGCGAGCAGGUGCGAAAGCAGGUCAUAGUGAUCCGGUGGUUCUGAAUGGAAGGGCCAUCGCUCAACGGAUAAAAGGUACUCCGGGGAUAACAGGCUGAUACCGCCCAAGAGUUCAUAUCGACGGCGGUGUUUGGCACCUCGAUGUCGGCUCAUCACAUCCUGGGGCUGAAGUAGGUCCCAAGGGUAUGGCUGUUCGCCAUUUAAAGUGGUACGCGAGCUGGGUUUAGAACGUCGUGAGACAGUUCGGUCCCUAUCUGCCGUGGGCGCUGGAGAAUUGAGGGGGGCUGCUCCUAGUACGAGAGGACCGGAGUGGACGCAUCACUGGUGUUCGGGUUGUCAUGCCAAUGGCACUGCCCGGUAGCUAAAUGCGGAAGAGAUAAGUGCUGAAAGCAUCUAAGCACGAAACUUGCCCCGAGAUGAGUUCUCCCUGAGACUUUAAGUCUCCUGAAGGAACGUUAAAGACGAUGACGUUGAUAGGCCGGGUGUGUAAGCGCAGCGAUGCGUUGAGCUAACCGGUACUAAUGAACCGUGAGGCUUAACCUU
rnacentral:rRNA from 1 species